ACGGGUGAGUAAAGUGUGAGUAAUUUGCCUUCCAGAGGGGGAUAACCCGGCGAAAGCUGGGCUAAAACCGCGUAAUAUUCGGUUGAUCAAGGUCAGCAGAAUCAAAACAUGGGGAAUCGCAAGAUCCUAUGGCUGGGAGAUGAGCCCACAUCCUAUCACGCUUGUUGGUGGGGUAAAGGCCUACCAAGGCGACGACGGGUAGCCGGCCUGAGAGGGUGUCCGGCCACACUGGAACUGAGACACGGUCCAGACUCCUACGGGAGGCAGCAGUGGGGAAUUUUUCGCAAUGGGCGCAAGCCUGACGAAGCAACGCCGCGUGGAGGAUGAAGGCCCUCGCGGUCGUAAACUCCUGUCUAGCGGGACGAAGGUAUUCCAAAAUAAUACGUUGGGAUAUUGACUGUACCGCUGGAGGAAGCUCCGGCCAACUCCGUGCCAGCAGCCGCGGUAAUACGGAGGGAGCAAGCGUUACUCGGAAUUACUGGGCGUAAAGGGCGCGUAGGCGAUUUGAUAAGUCUAGUGUGAAAGCCCCGAGCUUAACUCGGGAAGUGCACAAGAAACUGUUGAAUUUGAGUUCCGGAGAGGA
rnacentral:rRNA from 1 species